rnacentral:ncRNA from 1 species
UUUUCUUCUCUAGUUAAGGAACGGACUCCCUGGAAUCGGUUCAGCCAGAGAUGGGGACGUUGUUUCCGAAAAGCACCGCGGUUUCUGUGGUGUCUCGUGCUCUCUGAACGGUCCUUUAAACACCAAGGGAGGCUAUUAAUUUGCACUCAAUCGUACCGAUAUCCGCAUUAGGUCUCCAAGGUGAACAGCCUCUAGUCGAUAGAAUAAUGUAGGUAAGGGAAGUCGGCAAACUAGAUCCGUAACUUCGGGAAAAGGAUUGGCUCCAGUGGUCGGAACGGUUGGCCAGUUGGUUGAUGCUUGUCCGGCGCUGUUCUGUCUGCUUGAUGCUUUCGGGCUGAUGGCGGCCUAGUGAUAGUGCUUGCUUGUUGACGCUUUCUGGUGUGUGCUUUGACCUCGGUCUUAGUAUCCUGAUCGUUCAUCUAAACGACUAAACUGGAACCGGUACGGACUCAGGGAAUCCGACUGUCUAAUUAAAACAGAGGUGACAGAUGGUCCUUGCGGACGCUGACUGUCACUGAUUUCUGCCCAGUGCUCUGAAUGUUAAAUCGUAGUAAUUCGAGUAAGCGCGGGUAAACGGCGGGAGUAACUAUGACUCUCUUAAGGUAGCCAAAUGCCUCGUCAUUUAAUUGUUGACGCGCAUGAAUGGAUUAACGAGAUUCCUACUGUCCCUAACUACUAUCUAGCGAAACCACAGCCAAGGGAACGGGCUUGGCAAAAAUAGCGGGGAAAGAAGACCCUGUUGAGCUUGACUCUAGUUUGACAUUGUGAAGAGUCAUGAGAGGUGUAGCAUAGGUGGGAGUCUUCGGACGCCAAUGAAAUACCACCACUUUCAUCGACUCUUUACUUAUUCGGUUAAAAGAGAAUUGGUCGCAAGGCCUCUUUUCGAAGUAUUAAGCGGAUCCAUUUUAUGGAACCGUGACUCUCCCCGAAGACAGUGUCAAGCGGGGAGUUUGACUGGGGCGGUACAUCUAUCAAAUCGUAACGUAGGUGUCCUAAGGCGAGCUCAGAGAGGACGGAAACCUCUCGUAGAGCAAAAGGGCAAAAGCUUGCUUGAUCUUGACUUUCAGUACGAGUACAGACCGCGAAAGCGUGGCCUAUCGAUCCUUUUAAUUUUCCAGA